UGGAGUACACCUAGUUACCUUGUAUUUGGAUAUUCUUUAUACCAAUAUAAUUGACCAAACAUUGUUAAACGAUGUUGCAUCAUUUCCGUACCACAGAAAUCUCAGAGAAUUGUCGAACUACAUUUAUACCGGAGAAGUUAUAUGUUAGAUUUUCUUAAUGUUUAAACGAGAUCAAGUGAUCCAAACGUAGUAAAAGAUUUGCUCAACUGACAAAUUGUCAUUCUGAAACUGGAUAUUAUUUAUUUAUUACGGUUGGUAUCGGUAAAUUAUUUACACUCAUUUGACUUUUGUAGCUGGUGUUUAUCAGUUCUCAACUAAGUUUCUAAAUAUGGGGCGUGGAAGAGCAGUACCCUAUAUGUCUCAAUCAACAAUAUCAGAGAAAAUUGAACUAAAAAAGCAAAUUACUUUAUUUCAAAGUGUAUCAAUUAUUGUUGGAAUCAUAAUUGGUUCUGGAAUUUUUGUUUCACCUGUUGGAAUUUUAAUGAAUGUAAAAUCAGUGGGAUUCAGUUUAUUUAUGUGGGUUAUUUGUGGCGUCUAUAAUACAUUAUGUGCUGUGUGCUAUGCAGAACUAGGGGCUUCCAUACCCCAGUCAGGUGGAGAAUAUAUUUAUGUUAAAAGAGCAUUUGGUGACUUCAUGGGAUUUAUUAUUUUAUGGAUCAACUUUUUGUUAAUUUGUCCCGUGGGUAUAGCAGCCUUAAGUUUAAUCUGUUGUGUGUAUAUAUUGCAACCGUUUUUUCCUGACUGUGAAAUUCCUGCUAUGGCUACAAGGCUUAUAGCAAUUUGCAUAGUGUGUUUACUUAUAGUUAUCAACGGACGAAACGUGAAAUGGGCGACACGAAUGCAGGUUGUUAUUACAACGGCCAAAUUAGUAGCCUUAGCCAUUGUGGUCAUCAUUGGAUUUAUUUAUUUGGGAACAGGAGACAGAGAAAAUUUUACCAAUAGUUUUGAAGGAACAGAUUAUAGUGCUGGAGCUAUUGCCUUAUCUUUCUACUCUGGUUUCUGGGCUUAUUCAGGAUGCCCAUAGUUGACAGUGUAUAGUGGUGAAUAGUAAUCAUCAGAGAUGAUCACCUACAGUUUCAGUGAGCUGAAAUCUCUGGAUUAUAACCAAAAACAAUACAACUCUCCUAUCCUCAAUGUUGUUAGUGAACAAUUUCCUGAACUCUUAUCAACUGACCAUCUAAUUAACUUAAACUGUGGUGUAGGAAAUUGUAUCCCUGUCAAAAUAUCAAACAAGCCCAGAAAAAGAGGGAAAAGGGUAGUAGAUUUUACUAAUUUAGUACAACUAGAUGUUAAUAGUAAAGAUAAAAAGUGUGAUCAAGUAAAUUUCUGUGUCUUGAACUGUCAAUCCAUAAAAAAUAAAACCGAUAAAAUUCAAGAAUUAAUUAUAGACAAUGAUAUUGACAUAUUUAUUGCCAUUGAAACCUGGCUUAAAGCUAAAGAUAAUUUGGUACUAAAUCAAUUACUUCCUAAUAACUUUAGUUCUGUGUUAUUUAAUCGCAGUGGUGCAAAAACUGGUGGUGGCUUAGCAGUAUACUACAAGAAAACUUUAAAUAUAUCUUCGGUUACUUCAGCCAUUAAUUACAAAAGUUUUGAAGUUCUUCACACCUGACUCAAAUUCAACAAUGAUAAUAAUACAUCUUGUGUGCUUAUAU